AACGUAGGACACAAGCGUUAUCCGGAGUUACUGGGCGUAAAGGGCGUGCAGGCGGUUUGCUAAGUCUAGGGUGAAAGCUCCCGGCUCAACUGGGAGAGGUCCUUGGAUACUGACAGACUUGAGGGAGGCAGAGGAGAAUGGAAUUCCCGGUGUGAGUGGUGAUAUGCGUAGAUAUCGGGGAGGAACACCAGUGGCGAAGGCGGUUCUCUGGGCCUUACCUGACGCUGAGACGCGAAAGCGUGGGGAGCGAACCGG
rnacentral:rRNA from 1 species